CCGCCUGGGAACUACGAGCGCCAGCUUAAAACCCAAAGGACUUGGCGGUGCCCAAACCCACCUAGAGGAGCCUGUUCUAUAAUCGAUAAUCCACGAUCAACCUCACCACUUCUUGCCAAUUCCGCCUAUAUACCGCCGUCGCCAGCUUACCCUUUGAAGGUUAAAAAGUAAGUAAAAUGGUACUCACCAAAACGUCAGGUCAAGGUGUAGCGAAUGAAGUGGAAAGAAAUGGGCUACAUUUUCUAAUAACAGAAUAUACGAACGAUUACUAUGAAAAAGAAUCUGAAGGAGGAUUUAGCAGUAAAAGAGGAUCAUGAUGCCCCUUUUAAACUGGCCCUGGGCGCGC
rnacentral:rRNA from 1 species